GUCGGCGAUCGUCCGGUAACCGUGGGCGCCGGCCUGCGGCGCCGGGGUCUUCUCGGCCAGGGCGAGCACGCUCGGGUUCGUCUCGGCGACC
rnacentral:tRNA from 1 species